GACGAACGCUGGCGGCGUGCUUAACACAUGCAAGUCGAACGAUGAAGCCGGAGCUUGCUCUGGUGAAUUAGUGGCGAACGGGUGAGUAACACGUGAGUAACCUGCCCUUGACUCUGGGAUAACUGCGGGAAACUGUAGCUAAUACCGGAUACGACCCUCGGAGGCAUCUCCUGGGGGUGGAAAGAAUUUCGGUCAAGGAUGGACUCGCGGCCUAUCAGCUAGUUGGUGAGGUAAAGGCUCACCAAGGCGACGACGGGUAGCCGGCCUGAGAGGGUGACCGGCCACAGUGGGACUGGGAAACGGCCCGGACUCGUACGGGGGGCAGGAGUUGGGAAUAUUGCACAAUGGGCGGAAGCCUGAUGCAGCAACGCCGCGUGAGGGAUGACGGCCUUCGGGUUGUACACCUCUUUUAGCAGGAACGAAAAUGACGGUACCUGCAGAAGAAGGGGCGGCCAACUACGUGCCAGCAGCCGCCGUAA
rnacentral:rRNA from 1 species